rnacentral:rRNA from 1 species
CCUACGGGAGGCAGCAGUGAGGAAUAUUGGUCAAUGGGCGCGCGCCUGAACCAGCCAAGUAGCGUGAAGGAUGACUGCCCUACGGGUUGUAAACUUCUUUUGUAAAGGAGUAAAGUGAGGCACGUGUGCCUUUUUGUAUGUACUUUGUGAAUAAGGAUCGGCUAACUCCGUGCCAGCAGCCGGGGUAAUACGGAGGAUCCGAGCGUUAUCCGGAUUUAUUGGGGUUAAAGGGAGCGUAGAUGGGUUGUUAAGUCAGUUGUGAAAGUUUGCGGGUCCACCGUAAAAUUGCAAUUGAUACUGGCAGCCUUGAGUACAGUUGAGGUAGGCGGAAUGCGUGGUGUAGCGGUGAAAUGCUUAGAUAUCACGAAGAACUCCGAUUGCGAAGGCAGCCUACUAAACUGCAACUGACAUUGAUGCUCGAAAGUGUGGGUAUCAAACAGGAUUAGAUACCCUAGUAGUC